rnacentral:rRNA from 1 species
AGUGAACGCUGGCGGUAGGCCUAACACAUGCAAGUCGAACGGCAGCACAGUAAGAGCUUGCUCUUACGGGUGGUGAGUGGCGGACGGGUGAGGAAUACAUUGGCACCUAAUCAUUCGUGGGGGAUAACGUAGGGAAACUUACGCUACUACCGCAUACGCCCCAUAGGUCAAAACAGUGGCACUUUGUUCCUUGCGCGAUAGAAUUAGCCGAUGUCGGAUUAUCUAGUUGGCGGGGUAAGGUCCCACCAUGGCGACGGUCCGUAGCUGGUCUGAGAGGGUGAUCAGCCAGACUUGAACUGAUACACGGUCCAGACUGCUACGGGAGGCAGCAGAGGGGAAUAUGGGACAAAGGACGGAAGCCUGAUCCAGCCAGACCGCGUGGGUGAAGAAGGCCUUCGGGUUGUAAAACCCUUUUGUUGGGAAAGAAAAGCAGCAGGUUAAUACCCCGCUGUUCUGACGGUACCCAAAGAAUAAGCACCGGCUAACUUCGUG